rnacentral:tRNA from 1 species
GCCCCCGUGGUGAAAUUAGCAGACACGUACGCUUCAGGUGCGUAUGGCCUCACGGCUGUACAGGUGCAAGUCCUGUCGGGGGCACCA